GGGCUCAUGGUCUAGUGGUUAUGACGUCUCCCUCACACGGAGAAGAUCGCCGGUUCGAAUCCGGCUGAGCCCA
rnacentral:tRNA from 1 species